GUGAUGAGAUAUGGAGAAGUAGGUGUAGAAUGACGAGCAACAAAGAGUUUUAAAGCUGCUGAGACUCCAUACAAUGCUUGACAAUACUUGUAAUGUGCAUCAGCCAGUGUGUACCUCCUAUCUACAGCCAAUUUCAGAGAUUUUUUGGUUUUUUUGGGGAGAAGAGACAGAAGAGAGUCAGUGAAUCAGUGAGGGAAUAGAGGAGUCAAACUUUGGUCAAACCUC